GGAAAGGAUGAGGAACAUAAUACUUGGUUCUCUUCAUAGCAGAUGUGAGGGAAGAUAUUUGUGUUUAAAUUUACCAGUGAGAAUAAAGAAAUAUUGCUGAGAUUCUGUGAAGUUUCUGCCUGGGACUUGAAAAGGUGAUGUUCUCUGGUAGACAGAAGACAGAAAGCCAAGAGUGAUAUUCGGAGUGACACAGAGUAUAUGGAUCAGGAUCAAGAGGUUCUGCAUAAUAAUGAUUACUUCAAGAACAGAGCUGGUAUGUGCCUAAUCUCUACAAAAGACAACGUUAGUGCACUUCUAUGCUGCACCCUAGCGUGCUGAAACAAAGAAAAAUACAUUCAAAGAACUGCAUUCUUAGUCCUACCUGGGUGAGAACAGCUCUGGCUAUGAUGAACAGUAAGUCCAUCUACAAUGUUUUCUUUAAAAAGAAAAAGAAUCAAUUUUAAAUGUCUGAAAUGUGACUAUCUAACUCAAGCCAAGACAUCCCCUUACAGAUGAUUACAACCUAUGUUUGACUCUGUUGCUUGUUUCGCAUGGAACAGGACACUAUGCUUGCUUCUCUAAUUUAUACAUUGUCAUAGUGGUCAUAACAUGGUUAUGAA
rnacentral:lncRNA from 1 species